rnacentral:rRNA from 1 species
UACAGAGGUCCCAAGCGUUGUUCGGAUUCAUUGGGCGUAAAGGGUGCGUAGGUGGCGUCGUAAGUCGGGUGUGAAAUCUCGGGGCUUAACUCCGAAACUGCAUUCGAUACUGCGGUGCUUGAGGACUGGAGAGGAGACUGGAAUUUACGGUGUAGCAGUGAAAUGCGUAGAGAUCGUAAGGAAGACCAGUGGCGAAGGCGGGUCUCUGGACAGUUCCUGACACUGAGGCACGAAGGCCAGGGGAGCGAACGGG